GCGUUUGACCUCAAAUCAGGUAG
rnacentral:rRNA from 1 species